rnacentral:rRNA from 1 species
UGAUGACGGCCUUCGGGUUGUAAACCACUUUCGGCAGAGAAGAAGAGGUAUUCCCUAUUACUGCAUACUGCUGACGGUAUCUGCAGAAUAAGCACCGGCUAACUACGUGCCAGCAGCCGCGGUAAUACGUAGGGUGCGAGCGUUAUUCGGAAUUAUUGGGCGUAAAGAGUGUGUAGGCGGUU